rnacentral:lncRNA from 1 species
GAAGCCGGCAGCGACUGGUGCCCAAGGUCCCCUGGCCAGGGAGAGGCUGGGCACAGUGGCUCCGCAGUGGGGCGACUCCAGAGGGGGGGCCAGUGCCCGCUGUCACCGCCCGCGGGCCCCCACUUGCCUGCUCGGGGGCGGGAGGCCGCUAGGUGCGGGGCCGCGCGUGGGCGGAACCGCCGCUCCGGAGACUGGCUCCCGCCCUGGGCCCGAGGAGCUCUGUCGCCUCUGCGCGUCGUGCCCUACUUAGAGCGAUCUGAUUCCUCUCAGAAGCCUCCGGGCAAUAUUUUUAGCCCUCGGAGGUUGGGUCUAGGCCAAAGUGGGUGGAGCUGCGGGGAGAGAGUUGGGUCACAGGGUGGGGAGGCACCUGCCACCGGUCUUCCGUGGCCCGCCGGCCGGCCGGCCCAGCCCCCUCCCGGCCCUCCGCCCGGCCGCGGCCCUCGCCGCCCCUCCCGGCCCCGGGGACCGCAACGACAACGGCCGGGGACGGGAGCGCGGGCCGCCUCCGACCCGAAGCACCGCUUGCGCUCCUGCCCCCCAACCCGGCCGCGGCCCGGAGCGGGGAGGCGGUGGGCAGCCGGAGCCCUCCCCCGGGUCCGCCCGACGCGUUACCGUCCGCGGCCGGCCUCCGCGCCGCUCCGGGCCCCGCCGGCCGAGCUGCGCCCCUCACAUCCCCGGGGGCGGCGGCCCGUGCAGAGGCAGCGAUGCAGGCGAAGGCGGGCGUCCGCCCAGCCGUCGCCGCCGGCUUCGCGCGCCGCAGCCGCGCUCCCGCUGGGCCAGGGCCGCCCUCGCGCUCCGCUGCGCCCGCCCCGCGCCGGCCCCGUCCCCCUCCCGCGGCCGCCCGGCAGACCAGCGCGAGGGGCGGGGACAGCUGCGCCGCGCCCCCUCCGCGCCGGCCCGGCCCCGCCGCCCCGCCCCCGCCCCCCGCCCCGGCGCCCCCCGCGCGCUCCCCGCCGCCGUCCCGGGGCGCCGGCAGCGGGACCGCAGUGCGCAGCCGCGGCCCGGGCCCGGCCUCUGCGCGCUGCGGCGCCUCCGCGAGGGGCGCGCAACUUUAUUUUGCUGGGUCUUCCCAGCGUCAGCGCACUGCCGAGCAGUGGUAGAAGGCUGUCGCCUCCAUUUCAGCCGCUUAACGGGGAAGCCCAUUUUCCGGGUCCGCUCUGUGUCGCCCCAGGUCGCCAUAACUUGAUGCAGUUGACGCCUCUCCGGCCGAGGGGUACUGCCCCCCGUGGCUGCCGGGCCUUGAUCCAGAUCCCUUUCCGUGCCCGCUACACAGUCAAUAAGAGAUUAUUGUCGUGGUGGUUCUCCUUUCGCUGGGCACCUGGGUGGUUCACAAUUUUGCAGCAUCAUAAACCAUACCGCAGUGAACAUCUCCAUGCAUCCCACAUUUGUUUUCCUUGUAUAGUAUUACCUUAG